rnacentral:lncRNA from 1 species
CAACAUAUAUCGUCUAUCCUUGGGCCCUGGGAAGACUACAGAAUACAAUAUCAUCCUAGAGACAGGUUUAUAUGUUUGCUGGACAGGGAUCUUAGAAGAGGAGCCCCUUCUCUGUAAGUUCUUCCUGUCCCACUGACGCCACCAUCAGAUGGGAGAACUCUAGCAGGUGACAUUGAAAACCCAGUCACUGAAGUGGAACUUGUAAAGUGAAACAACCAUCAUCAAAUAAAAGGUUUUUAUGGAAACUCUGGAGGAUCAUCUUAAUAACAAGCCAGGCUUUCAAGGAGAAUGUUCCUGUGACUUUUUGGAUGGAUUUAUUGACUUUUUAGAGUCUAUUGCUGCUGUAAAUCUAAUCGUGCAAGAAAAAAUGGAGCAAAAAUUAAAAUGGUAUUUUAAGCUGUAUGACGUUGAUGGAAGUGGCUCUAUUGACAAAAAUGAACUACUGG